rnacentral:rRNA from 1 species
AGAGUUUGAUCCUGGCUCAGGACGAACGCUGGCGGUGCGCCUUAUGCAUGCAAGUCGAGCGAAGCUUUUCAGUAGUUUACUACAGAAAAUGACUGAGCGGCGAACGGGUGAGUAACGCGUGAGCAAUCUACCUUAGUUACAGGGAUAGCCCGAGGAAACUCGGAUUAAUACCUGAUAUUCUUUAUUUCUCGCAUGAGAAUAAAAGGAAAGGUCAGCCGAACUAAGAUGAGCUCGCGUUCUAUCAGCUAGUUGGUGAGGUAAAAGCUCACCAAGGCUACGACGGAUAGCUGGUCUGAGAGGACGAUCAGCCACACUGGGACUGAGACACGGCCCAGACUCCUACGGGAGGCUGCAGCAGGGAAUAUUGUGCAAUGAACGAAAGUUUGACACAGCGACACCGCGUGUGGGAUGACGGAUCUAGGUUUGUAAACCACUUUCAGGAGGGAAGAAAAUGACGGUACCUCCAUAAGAAGCCCCGGCCAACUACGUGCCAGCAGCCGCGGUAAUACGUAGGGGGCGAGCGUUGUCCGGAUUUAUUGGGCGUAAAGAGCUCGUAGGCGGUUCAACAAGUCGGUCGUGAAAGUUCAGGGCUCAACCCUGAAAUGUCGAUCGAUACUGUUGUGACUAGGAUACGGUAGAGGUGAGUGGAAUUCCGAGUGCAGCGGUGAAAUGCGUAGAUAUUCGGAGGAACACCAAUUGCGAAGGCAGCUCACUGGGCCGCUAUCGACGCUGAGGAGCGAAAGCUAGGGGAGCAAACAGGAUUAGAUACCCUGGUAGUCCUAGCUGUAAACGAUGGAUACUAGACGUAGGAACUGGAUUGACGGUUUCUGUGUCGCAGCUAACGCGUUAAGUAUCCCGCCUGGGGAGUACGGUCGCAAGACUAAAACUCAAAGGGAUUUGACGG